GUUGCUGGGAGGACCAGCUCACUGACAGAUUAAAGUUACCAAGUUGAAGUGAUGAGCUUGAAUCCUUCUGCAGUCACACAUUCGGCCUAGCAGAGAUGAGAGGUUGAAAUUUUUAAAAAAUGAAAUAGAACCACAAAGAAAAUAUCAGAACACAUUGCAGUUAGUAAAGUUCCUUUUCAUUUAAAACACAGGUAUUGAGCACCUACUGGGUUGAAGAUUCUAGAGAAUCAGCAGAAAGAGUUGGCAGGCGGGAG